GACGAACGCUGGCGGCGUGCCUAAUACAUGCAAGUUGAGCGCUGAAGGUUGGUACUUGUACCGACUGGAUGAGCAGCGAACGGGUGAGUAACGCGUGGGGAAUCUGCCUUUGAGCGGGGGACAACAUUUGGAAACGAAUGCUAAUACCGCAUAAAAACUUUAAACACAAGUUUUAAGUUUGAAAGAUGCAAUUGCAUCACUCAAAGAUGAUCCCGCGUUGUAUUAGCUAGUUGGUGAGGUAAAGGCUCACCAAGGCGAUGAUACAUAGCCGACCUGAGAGGGUGAUCGGCCACAUUGGGACUGAGACACGGCCCAAACUCCUACGGGAGGCAGCAGUAGGGAAUCUUCGGCAAUGGACGAAAGUCUGACCGAGCAACGCCGCGUGAGUGAAGAAGGUUGUCGGAUCGUAAAACUCUGUUGGUAGAGAAGAAAGUUGGUGAGAGUGGAAAGCGCAUAAAGUGACGGUACCUAAACAGAAAGCGACGGCUAACUACGUG
rnacentral:rRNA from 1 species